GGCCGUGUGGCGAAAUGGCAUCGCGUCUGACUACGAUGACUUUUCGAGGUGUCCUAAUCAGGAGAUUGCAGGUUCGACCCCUGUCUCGGUCA